rnacentral:rRNA from 1 species
GUUAAGCGACUAAGCGUACACGGUGGAUGCCCUGGCAGUCAGAGGCGAUGAAGGGCGUGCUAAUCUGCGAUAAGCGCCGGUAAGGUGAUAUGAACCGUUAUAACCGGCGAUACCCGAAUGGGGAAACCCAGUGUGAUUCGUCACACUAUCAUUAACUGAAUCCAUAGGUUAAUGAGGCGAACCGGGGGAACUGAAACAUCUAAGUACCCCGAGGAAAAGAAAUCAACCGAGAUUCCCCCAGUAGCGGCGAGCGAACGGGGAGGAGCCCAGAGCCUGAAUCAGCAUGUGUGUUAGUGGAAGCGUCUGGAAAGGCGCGCGAUACAGGGUGACAGCCCCGUACACAAAAGCGCAUAUUCUGUGAGCUCGAUGAGUAGGGCGGGACACGUGGUAUCCUGUCUGAAUAUGGGGGGACCAUCCUCCAAGGCUAAAUACUCCUGACUGACCGAUAGUGAACCAGUACCGUGAGGGAAAGGCGAAAAGAACCCC